rnacentral:misc_RNA from 1 species
UUGAUUCAUUUUGAAUUUUUGCUCAGAGCUGUAAGAAAUAACGUCCGCGAGGGGACUACAGAAAGAGUUUGGUUGGUUCCUCCGGCGGGCGCCUGGUUCCGGGGCUGCGACGCACCCGGGGCGUGACCCCGCCGAAGCAACGUUGGGUAUGUUCACAGGGGUUUGGGAGUUGAUAACUCGGUAAUGAUCCCUCCGCUGGUUCACCAACGGAGA